CCCCACCACACACACACACACAAACGGCCGCUGCAGUCCUCGCCCCACACCGCCUGGACUACAGGGACCGUGGUGCAUCACACGGCUCACGUCCCGAAGCCUCCGCGACGGUGGCCGCCGAGGGAUGGGUGGUCUCUGCUUUCGCGGAACGCCCCGCAUCAGAGUGGGGCCGAACAGGCUGAUUGUACAAUUGAGUGGACUGACUUUGGAAGAAAUUCUGCAUCACCAGGUUUUAUUAGAAGACUGGGAGAGGACUGUCAUGAUCAAGAGUCAUUUGCCAAGCUGAUCCAUCCAACACAACAUCCUGGUGAAUCGCCUCUGCAACCGUCCAAUGGAAUCACCACCUUCCAAGAGGUGUGAGGUGACCAGAACUGCAGCAGUACUCCAGUGGCCUAACUGAAGUUUUGAUCGGCUCCAACAUAAUCUCCCUGCUCUUUUAAUUGAUGCCUUGACUGAUAAAGGUGUGUACCAUAUGCUGCCUUAACUACCCUACCAACCAGUCUUACUGCCUUCAGGAGUUUGUGGACAAGCAUCCUAAGAUUCCUGUGUUCCUCUGAGCUUCCAGUGUAUCUGGAGAGGCUAGAUGUUUUUCACUGCUAAUAAUAAUCUGGAUGUUCCCAAUAGUCUGGCUGUUAAUAAGAUAGGAAGUGGGUGGAGGGAAUGAUGAUUGGACUUUUAAAAUGACAGUGGGUGGGAAGGGGGAGCGGGGGUUGAAAUGAUGAUAUAUCUGACCAAAGUAGGACCAAAAGAGCAUAAAACAUGCCUACCCUGCUAAGCCAUAUAACCAGAUAACCGACAACCUGACCUGGACUUCCCACGUAAAUGCGACAGUCAAGAAGGCACAACAAUGCCUCCUCUUCCGCAGCUGGCUCAGGAAAUUUGGCAUGUCCGUAAGGUCCCUCACCAACUUCUACAGAUGCACCGUUGAAAACAAACUGUCUGGGUGCAUAAUGGCCUGAUAUUGCAACUGUUCUGCUCAGGGCUAAGAAACAAUUGAAGAUGGUGUGCACAGCCCAGACCAUUACAGAGCCAACCUUCCAUCCAUGGACUCUAUUUACAUGGCUCACUGCUGCGGAAAGGCGGCCAACAUCAUUAAAUACUCAUCACACCCUGGUAGUGACCUCCUACAACCUCUUCCAUCAGGCAGAAGAACAGAAGCUCGAAUACAGACACAAGCAGGUUCAGGAAUGGCUUCUUUCUAGCCAUUAUCAGACUGUUGAAUGGACUCUAGCCUCAAAUAAUGUAACCUGUAUGCCGCUGUUUUUUUGAUCUGUACAACCUUUGCUUGCUGUAAUCUGUCUGUACUGCUCGUAAACAAAACUUUUCACUGUAUUUUGGUACAUGGGCCAAUAAAAUCAAAAUCAAAUCAUAAGACAUGCUGCUACCAGACCACAACUGGAUCAGGGCAUCACUGGCUAGGCCAGCAUUUGUUGCCCAUCCCUAAUUUCCCAGAGGGCAAUUCAGAGUCAACCACAUUGCUGUGGGUCUGGAGUCACAUGUAGGCCAGACCAGGCAAUGAUGGCAGUUUUCUUCCCUAAAGGACAUUCAUGAACCAGAUGGGUUUUUCUGACAAUCGAUGACUGAUUCAUGGCCAUCUAUCGACUCUUAAUUCCAGAGUUUUAUUGAAUUCAAAUUCCACAAUCUGCCAUGGAAUGAUUCAAACUCAGAUGAUUCAAUUCCCAGAGCAUUAACCCGGGUCUUAGAGUCAUAGAGUUGGACAGCAUGGAAACAGACCCUUUGGUCAAACUUGCCAAUCAGAUAUCCCAAAUUAAUCUGUCCCAUUUGCUAGCAUUUGGCCAUAUCCCUCAAAACCGUUCCUAUUUGAGUACCCAUCCAGAUACCUUUUAAAUAUUGUAAUUGUCUGCACCUCUACCAUUUCCUCAGGCAGGUCAUUCCAUACAUGCAUCACUCUCUGUGUGAAAAAGUUGACAUUGAGAUCCCUUUUAUAUCUUUCACUUCUCACCUUAAACCUAUGCCCUCUAAUUUUGGAUUCCCCGUACCUAGAAAAAGCCCUUGGCUAUUCAUACAAUCUAUGGCCUCUAUGAUUUUAUAAACUUCAAUAAGGUCAUCCCUCAGUCUCUAACACUCCAUCACUGGAUUAAUAAUCUAGUGAGAAUACCAGUAUGCUAUUGCCUUCCCUUAAAGCUGGAUACAAACUGGUGGAAAUGUGAGAUUUCACUGAAUCACAGAUUUUUGUUUAUUUACCCUUAGACACUUUGCAAUAUUACCGGUUGAACAUUUCUUAGAAGGCAAUCUAGAAUAAAAUUUUCAUUGCUGAAGCUAUAUUAGGCACAGUCUGUAGAAGGAAAGUAAUUUGAACGGAAACAAAGCCACGAUAGAGGUGAAGAGAGGAAAGAAUUCUGAAUGUGAGCCAGAAAAUAUGGUGAAAGGACAUCAUUUUUAGUGGCUAGCAGGGAGAGUUGUAAAAAGGCGUGGCCCUCACAUAUAUUUAGCCAAUAUGUUAGGUUUGUACAUGCAGGUCAUAUUUUACCUUCAGAGUUUUGUGAAGAAAAAGGGAGUUGGGAAUAAUUAAAUGAAUCUGAUGAAUUAGAAGAUUGAAUAGAAUAGAAUAGCUUUUUAUUGUUACGAAUAAUUCAUCAAUUCAAUCUUGACUCCAGCGCAAGUUAUACCAGAAACGAGUUCAGGUCUGAGUCAAGCAGACACGUGAUGAAGGGGAAAGUUCAAUUGAAGAUCAAAGACAAAAUCAGCCCUUGUAGGGAAAUUGUCCUUAGUCACAAGCCAAGAUGGUUCCAGGUCCUUCUAAAAUUCUGAAAGGUUGAGUCAGGAACAUUCUUAGGAAUAGGAAACCAAAUUAGAUUUGUAAAUAAAUGGACAACAACGUAGAUAUAAAGGUUGUAUGGAAUUUUGAGCAUUGUGUAAUGUAUUAAUUUAGAUGAGAAGAGAGUAAUAACAGCCUCUUGUGGCUAUUUGUGUAUAUGUUUGUUCCAGAAUAAA